GCCCUGGUGGUGGAAAGGUAGACACAAUUGCUUCAAAAUCAAUUAUCGAUAGAUGUGGAGGUUCAAAUCCUCUCCAGGGCA
rnacentral:tRNA from 1 species